GGUUUAAUAUUCAUAAUAUGAUAUUAGAAUGCAAUUCUGAUGGUGUAAUAAUAUACUUAGACUU
rnacentral:tRNA from 1 species